rnacentral:rRNA from 1 species
UCGACUGUUUACCAAAAACAUAGCCCUAGUAUAUAUCUAAGGUGUAACCUGCCCAGUGGUUUUAAACUAAAAAUAAUUAAAAGUUAUAUAAUAAAACUAAAAGGACGCGGUAACCUUGACCGUGAUAAUGUAGCAUAAUCACUCGCCAUUUAAUUGAUGGAUAGUAUGAAUGGUUAAACGAAUAUUCCCCUGUCUUAAAAAGAAACAUUUAAAAAUUAAAAUAAUAGUUAAGAUGCUAUUUAAGAUUGUAAGACGAAAAGACCCUAUAGAGCUUAACUAUAAUCUUUCUUUGAACAAAGAACAUCUAUUCUCACAUAGAAAGAUUGGUAGUUUAGUUGGGGCGACUAUCUUCUAAAAUUAACGAAGAAAAGCAAAGUUAAUAAAAAAAAACUUAUUGUAUAAUAUAUUUAUUUAACAAUUAUAAAAAUAGGCUAUAAUGACCCGUUAAAUUUUUAUAAAAAAAUUAACGAUCAAUAAAUAAAAGCUACCUUAGGGAUAACAGGAUAAUUUCAUUUUAGAGAUCGUAUCGAAAAUGAAGUUUGUCACCUCUAUGUUGAAUUAAGAUACCCCAACAAUGCAGAAGUUGUUAACGGUAGGUCUGUUCGACCUUUAAAAUCUUACAUGAUUUGAGU